GACGAACGCUGGCGGCGUGCUUAACACAUGCAAGUCGAACGGAAAGGCCCCUUUGGGGGUACUCGAGUGGCGAACGGGUGAGUAACACGUGAGUAACCUGCCCUUGACUUCGGGAUAACUUCAGGAAACUGGGGCUAAUACCGGAUAGGAAUCCUUGCUGCAUGGUGGGGGUUGGAAAGCUUCGGCGGUUUUGGAUGGACUCGCGGCUUAUCAGCUUGUUGGUGGGGUAGUGGCUUACCAAGGCUUUGACGGGUAGCCGGCCUGAUAGGGCGACCGGCCACAUUGGGACUGAGAUACGGCCCAGACUCCUACGGGAGGCAGCAGUGGGGAAUAUUGCACAAUGGGCGGAAGCCUGAUGCAGCAACGCCGCGUGCGGGAUGACGGCCUUCGGGUUGUAAACCGCUUUCAGCAGGGGCGAAGCUUGUGGUGACGGUACCUGCAGAAGAAGCACCGGCUAACUACGUG
rnacentral:rRNA from 1 species